rnacentral:lncRNA from 1 species
UAUAGUUCAAUAAUGAUUUGCUUAAAAAUAAUAUUGAUACGGCCCUUUGUGUAUUAUUUGUUAGAUUCAAGUAAAUAUUUAUUAAGCGCAUGCACAUCGUUCAUCUAUUUUGUAGAAACAGUUUCAUCAUCUUAUACGAUCGGUUCGCGAUCGAACGUGUAUAACGUGAUUAACCUCAAACUCGACACAACCGAUGAACGACCUGGGCGCGAUAUUAGAAUCAGCAGGUAGUUAGAAAAACGGACAGCUUUUUACUCAUGACUCGCAUUUCGAACCGCUCAAGAUUUGUUAGGCACGCACGCAUAAAUUAAUUUUGUUUUCUUUCGGUUAAGCAAAUAUUUGUUGGAUUGAAAUGUAUUGGACUAUGAGGAGUUUAAGUAUAUUAAUAUACGUUUGUUUAAAAAAAAAGUAUUUUAACGUUUUGCCUUUAUAAAGAUUUUCUAAAUUGCAAUAAAUCUUUAUUAAACUAAGAUUAUUACUAUAUUAAUACCCUUAUGAAAUUUUACUAGGCUUUAGUAAAUUUUUAUUAGAUUACAAAAUUUUAGUGGUUACUUUUAGACGUGCAUAUAAAUGUGAUAAAAUGCGAAAACGUAGCGGGGGAGGGGAGGGACACUGCAGCCACGAUGCCUGAGCGCUGGCACGUGUGAAUUGAUUUCGCACCGCUCAUGAUGUGCGACGCGGCUUGAUAGUGUUGGCUCCCAUCAACGAGCUCGAAUGUCGUACGACGCUGUACAGCUUACUUAACCUAAAGUGUACUGUGCACCGAGCAGCUAUGAAUCAGAGCGGCAGUACAGAAAAAGAUAGCGAGUGUAUUUUUCGUACUUGUUCUUUUUUACAGCAGUUACUAUAGAAAGUAUGCGUAUAUAACAUUAAAAAAAUCUUUAUUAGGUUUUAGUAAAUAAUUAUCGAAUAGCGAAAUUGUAUUGCUUACUUUCAAGCGGGUAAUAGUUUUAACAUUUAUAGGAUAAUUUUAUAUGAAAAUGAUUUUAAUCUGAUUUUAAUAUUACAUCAAUAGAAACAUAAUUUAAUUUUUUACACUUAGUCAAUAAAAUAUCGUUGGCAGUUCUACCAAAAAUGAACGAGGAGAUGAUAAAUUCUUUGAUACCAGCCAUAGGAGAUAGAGCCGUUUUUCUUGAUUAUUGGAAAAAAAAUUUUAAGGAAAAGGAUACUGAUAACAAUUCAAAGGAGGCUGUGAGUAGCAAGAGAAAACAGAGGGAUGAUAACAAUGGCGAAGGCAGUAGUGCACCAAAAAAAAAAAUGCGUUGAAAAAGAAAAUGACACCAUCAGUGCCAAUAACACUUUAUCCAGUGACAUUUACAAUGUAGCUUCAAUUCCUUCUCUAAAAAAACUCCUCGAUGCAAAUGACAAAGGCAGACAAGUCCUUCUAAAAUAUGAUUCAUGCAAAGAACUCGAUGAAGUGGACAGGAAAAAAAUCUGUAAUGUAAUUGUAACAGAAAUUAUGAAUAAGAAACAAAGAUUAAUUAAUGACGUUGCAAAACAAAAUUGUCGAGUUAUUUCCGACGGAAUCUGUCAGAACUUACUAUGUACCGCCUAUAAGUAAACAAGAAAAUGAGAAGAAGCUACAGAAAAGUGGGGGUGCGAAAAAAAAGAAUAUGUCCAUUCCAUCUAAAGGAAAGCUUAUGAGUAUGUACAGAAAUAGGCAAUCGGAAAAUAAAAAAUUAGACCGGUUGCUGGCCCAGGAGAGCCAACGCACAAAUGAAAUACCUGACGCUGAAGAGUCUGAAGAAGACAAUGAGGAGAUUAAAGAAAGCGUAGACUGGUUGGCCGCCAAUGAAGUUCCUUGUGUAGUAAGAU